rnacentral:lncRNA from 1 species
UAUGAAUGUAUUGGACGCGCUGCUUGUGGCUGUGCAGGAUGAAAACCAUGGAGCCACUGGCCCAGAUCAUGAGCCCCAAACAGAAACCAUCAUGGGAUAAUAGCAAUGGCACAUAGAAUGACUCUGCGAUUUUGUCGUAAGAUAGCGCGUAACAGUAGUCCUGAUCUAUUUUCCUUGUGAUGUUUAUGUUAUUCCUUUUGUCAGUUAGAUGAAAAGGAACCACAAUACUUCGCACUAUAUUCAAGACCCAGCAGAAGAUGUUGGAGGUGCCCACGUACUUGGGAGCUUUUAUUUUAAGCUGUGCCCACCUGGAGUCCCCAGGACUGAUCAUGAUCACCUGGAAGACAGUCAAGAGGCAGGUGGCUCCAAUGGCCACAUCCCUGCCCACUCUGUGAACAAAGAAAACAAGUCUGCAUCCAAA